CUGAGUCAGCCGGCCUGCGCUGGGGCUCCAGGCUUCGCGGAAGGAACCUAACCCCUGUGGGGUUCAGCCCUGGUGCCCGGAAGAGUUAAUGCUCCAGUCUCCAGGUUGUGGAGCCUAGAAGGACCCUGCGCGCUGCUUGGCGCGUGGGUGUCGCUGUCUCGCGGCCUGGCUCUGUGAGGCGGAGAGCGUCGGGGUGGUUCCUAAACCCCCUUCAGGAGGCCUGCGGCCGUUAUCUGGAGCCCCGCCGGGUAGAGGUCGCCGCCCGCUGACCUCGCAGGGUCCUCGGCCUUCCUGGCCCAGCUGGCCGUACCCGAAGCCUUUUUGUUCCGUUCAGGAUCAACGGACCUGAGGAUACCCCGUUUUGGGCUGUGCACAUCACAAUUGUUUUUUCUUGUGAGGACAGCGUGCUUCCUGUAGAAUGGGAACCUUCUUUUUAUCUUGUAUUUCCUGCAGUGCCUGGCCGAAUUACCUGAUUAAGCCACCUGAGCUGCUGCGGGUACGAACAAGCCUUAAAUAUGGACCCCUGCCAGCCAACGAUGCUCGUCUUGUCGAGACAUUACAAAGGCCCGUCCCUUUGUUGGUCUGACAUGCGAAGCCGCUCCAUGCUCCUCUUCCUGCCAGAUGACAGAAGAACGGCCAGUAAUCCCCAAUGGAGACGGGACCGAGCUCUUGGGAGAAGAACGCCGGCCCCUGCACCCGGACCAGCCCAGCCCAGCUGCCCCACCACAGAGAACAACACCACGGGGAUCCCUAACUAAGCUAGUACCUGCAGCUCAGGAAUUUGUGUGAGUAAUAAAAAGCUGUGUGAUUUGCAACUGCAUAUGCUUCAUGUGGUGUGAU